AGUGAACGCUGGCGGCAGGCCUAACACAUGCAAGUCGAACGGAAACACAGUAAGAGCUUGCUCUUACGGGUGGCGAGUGGCGGACGGGUGAGGAAUACAUCGGAUUCCUCUUUUUCGUGGGUGAUAACGUAGGGAAACUUACGCUAAUACCGCAUAUGUCGUACGGGUGAAAGCAGGGGAUCUUCGGACCUUGCGCGAUUGAAUGAGCCGAUGUCGGAUUAGCUAGUUGGCGGGGUAAAGGCCUACCAAGGCGACGAUCCGUAGCUGGUCUGAGAGGAUGAUCAGCCACACUAGAACUGAGACACGGUCCAGACUCCUACGGGAGGCAGCAGUGGGGAAUAUUAGGCAAUGGGCGAAAGCCUGAUCCAGCCAUACCGCGUGAGUGAAGAAGGCCUUCGGGUUGUAAAGCCCUGUUGUUGGGAAAGAAAAACAGCAGGUUAACACCCGGCUGUUCUGACGGUACCCAAAGAAGAAGCACCGGCUAACUUCGUG
rnacentral:rRNA from 1 species